UGCUUCCAUGGUCAAGGCAAGAAAGGGCAAGAUUGCAAAACUCCGGGGACUCCUCCCACCCACUGCAGACAGAGCCUCCCUGCCCAGCAGUUGCAGAAACUCACUCCCUUCCCAAGAUCUGGCAGAGCCCGAGCGAUGCCCCCUGGGAGGAAAGGACGAUUGCUGCCAGACCUUCCUCAUCUCAACAUGGGGUCUCAGUUCUUCAUCCCGAUGGAGGCCCCUGGGGGCGGGGGUGGACAGGAGAAAGACACACGGACAGAGCAGUUUUGUUUAUAAAAUUCAGCAACCGGCGAAGGGCGGCGAGUUGGUUCUGCGCUCGCUUGGGCCCACCGGAUGGAUUCCUCCUUGUCCUCUUGGGCUGGAGCCAUAGACAGCAGCAGCAGCAGCAGCAUUUCAUCGAGGUGGAGACGGAGGAGCAGCGCUUCCAGCCCCCGGUGCACCAGAAGAUGGAACUUCCUGGGAGAAGUGCCUGGAUAAACAUGGACCAAAGUCGAGCAGCCGGGCUGAGGCUCACUUUGUGAACUGUGUUGAGCGCUUCACUGAUACAAGACAAUUAAUUCAUCUUAAAUCAGACCCAGAAGUCCAAUGCAGUCUUCUCGAAAGCAGCAUUACCUCUUCAAACAAUGAACAGCUGUUGCGAAAUGGCCAGGGGGGGCUCCCAAUUUUCUUUAUCAUCUUGGGACAUCUUGUCGCCUGAGAAUGGGCAAAGACCAAUUUUUACAUAUGGGAGUUGACAGUCAUGAGUAUUUGGUUGUGUUUUUAAAGCUAAUCAUGUGAAAAUAAUUGACAGAUAAAUGAAAUUAUGAGAUGCACAUUGCUGUAUAUGGGACUAUGCUUUCUCAAGGUCCCUUAACUGCUUUAUAUAAUUUUGAUAGUGGAAGUGGUUUCUAUAAUUUGGUAGUGGGACCACACAGAGUAAAUCUCUUUGCAUGGAUUAA